ensembl:lncRNA
GCAAUUUUUCAUAACACUGAUGUUUUAAAGAGACCAGACAAAUUGCCUAAAGAAUGUUGCAAGAUGAACAGUUUGGUUUUUCAAUAAUAAUAGUAAUCGUGGUGUGUAUAGAUUGACCAUGUCCCCAAAGAAGAUCCUCCCACAUCCCACCCCACGCUUUAUUUGGGAAUAGGGUCUUUACAAGUGUGUUCAAGGUGAUGGGCCCUAAUCCAACAUGCGUGACGUCAUCAAAAGAAAAGAGACACAGAGAAGAUGGGCACGUGAAGAUGAGGUCGAGACUGGGCUUAAGCAGUCCAGACAAAGAAGUUCCUGGGGCACCAGAAGCUGGAAGAAGAAGGAAGGACUCUUCUCCAGAGCCUGAUUUCAAACUUCUGGGCUCCAGAAAGGGACAUUUUAGGCACUACAAAGAUGCUGUUGAUACAUACGUCAAAUGAUGGAGGAAACUAUUCACCAGAAGCCCUGUUAAGAGAACUGGCUUGGUCAGACUUUUUGCAGUGUUUAGAGGGUGCCGGCAGGCUAAGUCGCUUCAGUUGUGUCCUACUCUGUGUGAGUUGUGUCCUACUCUGUGUGACCCUAUGGACUUGUAGCCCACCAGGUUCCUCUGUCCAUGGGAUUUCCCAGGCAAGAAUACUGGAGUGGGCUGCCAUUUCCUCCUCCAGGGGAUCUUCCCGACCCAGGGAUUGAACCUUGGUCUUUUACAUCUGCAUUGACAGGUAGGUUCUUUACCACUAGCGCCACCUGUAGGAAAUCCUAGAUGUGUCUCAGCUGGUUCCUAGAAGAGGCGUUUGUUUUCCUUUUGAGAGAAGAAAGGGAGGGGAAGGAGCAAGUUGACCAGGAAAAGGUGGGGGUAAGUGCUGGAGGAGAGUUAGCUGUCAAGCUUUGUACAACAGGCUCUGCAAGAGAGGCUGGUUUGCUUCCAGACCAAGUUGCAUCAAACUCUGUAUCACACACUGGUUUUGGUUACAUACACUUUGGGGGCCCUCUAGGGAAAGCACAAGAGAGUAAUGAAUACCUGAUCGGAGUGUAUUUUUCUGUAUCUUACCCGGAG